rnacentral:ncRNA from 2 species
ACCACCCACGGGGGAGAGACCGCCCGAGAAACACCGGCGGCGCCGAAGGGGCAUAUCCUCCCCGGAACCUCUCAGGCAAAAGGACCUCGUGGGCAGG